rnacentral:rRNA from 1 species
CCCUUAGAUGUUCUGGGCCGCACGCGCGCUACACUGAUGAAUUCAACGAGCACUAACCUGUGCCGAAAGGUUCGGGUAAUCUUGUGAAAUUUCAUCGUGAUGGGGAUUGAUUAUUGCAAUUUUUAAUCAUAAACGAGGAAUGCCUAGUAAGCGUGAGUCAUCAGCUCACGUUGAUUACGUCCCUGCUCUUUGUACACACCGCCCGUCGCUCCUACCGAUUGAGUGGUCCGGUGAGGCUUUGGGAUCUGAGCGGAAAGAGCGUUUCGCUGUUUCUGCUCGGAAAACUCAGUCGAACCUUAUCAUUUAGAGGAAGGAGAAGUCGUAACA